AGAUCUACAAUCUUGGAUGUUGACUGUAGCAGUGAGUCCAAUUGACUUGCAUGGAAGCGUAAGUUGAAACAUCAGACAGAAAAGGAAAUUCUUUUUGUCUUGAAAUGCAAUAUCUUCAUGGAGUUCAGAGUAGCAGGGUCUUCAGUGAAAGACAGAGCGUCAACACUCUUCACGACAUACGUCAACAAUGCUCCUUCCUAAUUUGAGAAGAAAAAGGAUGUGUGGUGUGAACAGGUUGUUGCAUAACUGAGGGCAAUUCAGCACAUGAUUUAUGAAGCAGAAAAGAGCAGCUCUGCUCCAGCCAGCGAUAGGUUAAACAUCUGACGGAUUCAUCACAAGUCUUGCACGGACCAUCCUUCAUAUGACAGUUCCAGCAGCAGGGGAUGAUCGUGCAGGGAAGAAAGUAGAGGCAAUCAAGACAACCAUAGACCUCACCUGGUAUGUUCUCUUCACAAGCUUUGCACCUGAUUCUGCUUUCGAGUUUCAUGUAGAAGACCAGUGAGUGCUGAUGGUCAAAAUUGUAGAAAACCAAGUCCUUCUUGCCCUCUAGGUCUUGUGAACAUAGAGCUAAAGCCGUGCAGUCCAUGUUGAGGCUGAAUUUGCAUUCACUGCAGUAGGAAACCAUGGCAUUCAUUACAUUUAGCUCCUCCAAUUGAUUGAAAGCGAGAGGGUGAUCAUGGGGAGACAGGUGUUGCAUCCCUGGGGGAGAUUUGGUGCAGCUUUUGUGGAGAAAGUAUUUGCAUGCAUUGCAUCCAUAGACGUCCCCCAAGAUUGCUUGCUCGCAGGCUUUGCAUUUGAUUCUAUUUUUCAUCCCGAGAUGAUGGCAUGUGAGCGGAUGCUCAUCAGCAUUUGUUGGAUGGCCACAUUCUGAGAAUCCUCAUUGGGAGGACAAGCAA